GAUGAACGCUGGCGGCGUGCCUAAUACAUGCAAGUCGAGCGAACAGACGAGGAGCUUGCUCCUCUGACGUUAGCGGCGGACGGGUGAGUAACACGUGGAUAACCUACCUAUAAGACUGGGAUAACUUCGGGAAACCGGAGCUAAUACCGGAUAAUAUAUUGAACCGCAUGGUUCAAUAGUGAAAGACGGUUUUGCUGUCACUUAUAGAUGGAUCCGCGCCGCAUUAGCUAGUUGGUAAGGUAACGGCUUACCAAGGCAACGAUGCGUAGCCGACCUGAGAGGGUGAUCGCCCACACUGGAACUGAGACACGGUCCAGACGCCUACGGGAGGCAGCAGUAGGGAAUCUUCCGCAAUGGGCGAAAGCCUGACGGAGCAACGCCGCGUGAGUGAUGAAGGUCUUCGGAUCGUAAAACUCUGUUAUUAGGGAAGAACAAAUGUGUAAGUAACUAUGCACGUCUUGACGGUACCUAAUCAGAAAGCCACGGCUAACUACGUG
rnacentral:rRNA from 1 species